UGGGGAAUAUUGGACAAUGGGCGCAAGCCUGAUCCAGCCAUGCCGCGUGAGUGAUGAAGGCCCUAGGGUUGUAAAGCUCUUUCGCCAGGGACGAUAAUGACGGUACCUGGAUAAGAAGCCCCGGCUAACUUCGUGCCAGCAGCCGCGGUAAUACGAAGGGGGCUAGCGUUGUUCGGAAUCACUGGGCGUAAAGCGCACGUAGGCGGACUGUUAAGUCAGGGGUGAAAUCCUGGGGCUCAACCCCAGAACUGCCUUUGAUACUGGCGGUCUUGAGUGUGGAAGAGGUUGGUGGAACUCCGAGUGUAGAGGUGAAAUUCGUAGAUAUUCGGAAGAACACCAGUGGCGAAGGCGGCCAACUGGUCCACUACUGACGCUGAGGUGCGAAAGCGUGGGGAGCAAACAGGAUUAGAUACCCCGGUAGUCC
rnacentral:rRNA from 1 species